GACGAACGCUGGCGGCGUGCUUAACACAUGCAAGUCGAACGGAAAGGCCCCUUUGGGGGUACUCGAGUGGCGAACGGGUGAGUAACACGUGAGUAACCUGCCCUUGACUUCGGGAUAACUUCAGGAAACUGGGGCUAAUACCGGAUAGGAAUCCUUGCUUCAUGGUGGGGGUUGGAAAGCUUCGGCGGUUUUGGAUGGACUCGCGGCUUAUCAGCUUGUUGGUGGGGUAGUGGCUUACCAAGGCUUUGACGGGUAGCCGGCCUGAGAGGGCGACCGGCCACAUUGGGACUGAGAUACGGCCCAGACUCCGACGGGAGGCAGCAGUGGGGAAUAUUGCACAAUGGGCGGAAGCCUGAUGCAGCAACGCCGCGUGCGGGAUGACGGCCUUCGGGUUGUAAACCGCUUUCAGCAGGGGCGAAGCUUGUGGUGACGGUACCUGCAGAAGAAGCACCGGCUAACUACGUG
rnacentral:rRNA from 1 species